rnacentral:misc_RNA from 1 species
CCCCUAAACUCUGUUUUUAGUGGAACUUCUGAGUAAAACAAACAAAUAAAUCAAAACUUUCAACAACGGAUCUCUUGGUUCUGGCAUCGAUGAAGAACGCAGCAAAAUGCGAUAAGUAAUGUGAAUUGCAGAAUUCAGUGAAUCAUCGAAUCUUUGAACGCACAUUGCGCCCGCCAGUAUUCUGGCGGGCAUGCCUGUUCGAGCGUCAUUUCAACCCUCAAGCUCAGCUUGGUGUUGGGACUCGCGGUAACCCGCGUUCCCCAAAUCGAUUGGCGGUCACGUCGAGCUUCCAUAGCGUAGUAAUCAUACACCUCGUUACUGGUAAUCGUCGCGGCCACGCCGUAAAACCCCAACUUCUGAAUGUUGACCUCGGAUCAGGUAGGAAUACCCGCUGAACUU